AAUCUCGCGCAAUGGGCGAAAGCCUGACGCAGCCAUGCCGCUUGAAUGAUGAAGGACUUAGGAUUUUAAAAUUCUUCCACCGGGGACGAUAAUGACGGUACUCGGUGAAUAAGCCCCGCCUAACUUCGUGCCAGCAGCCGCGGUAAUACGGAGGGGGCUAGCGUUGCUCGGAAUUACUGGGCGUAAAGGGCGCGUAGGCGGACAUUUAAGUCAGGGGUGAAAUCCCAGAGCUCAACUCUGGAACUGCCUUUGAUACUGGGUGUCUUGAGUGUGAGAGAGGUAUGUGGAACUCCGAGUGUAGAGGUGAAAUUCGUAGAUAUUCGGAAGAACACCAGUGGCGAAGGCGACAUACUGGCUCAUUACUGACGCUGAGGCGCGAAAGCGUGGGGAGCAAACA
rnacentral:rRNA from 1 species